UUUAAAUCGAUGAAAAGGAAAGUAGUUUUUGCUAUAUUCGAUAGCGAGCCGGGGACGGUGGAAGCCUGGUGAUGAAGCAUGAAUGAAGAACACCUUUGAGUUCUAACCGAAAGGGAUAACUUAAGUAGGCUUAGACGUUACCAGCACGUUAUGGACUGGAUAAGCAAUAGUCGCUUUAAAGUUGGUCAUAUUAUGACAAUUUGGGUGGUACCGCGGAAGUUAGCCUUUCGUCCCUUUU
rnacentral:ncRNA from 1 species